UACGAAGGGGGCUAGCGUUGUUCGGAAUUACUGGGCGUAAAGCGCACGUAGGCGGACAUUUAAGUCUGGGGUGAAAUCCCGCGGCUCAACCGUGGAACUGCCUUAGAUACUGACGGCCUCGAGGAAGGUAGGGGCAUGCGGAACUGUAGGUGGAGCGGUGAAAUGCGUUGAUAUCUACAGGAACUCCGGUGGCGAAAGCGGCGUGCUGGACCUUUUCUGACGCUGAGGCGCGAAAGCUAGGGGAGCAAACGGGG
rnacentral:rRNA from 1 species